rnacentral:rRNA from 1 species
AUUGAACGCUGGCGGCAGGCCUAACACAUGCAAGUCGAGCGAGCGGCGGACGGGUGAGUAAUGUCUGGGAAACUGCCUGAUGGAGGGGGAUAACUACUGGAAACGGUAGCUAAUACCGCAUCCCAUCAGAUGUGCCCAGAUGGGAUUAGCUAGUAGGUGGGGUAAUGGCUCACCUAGGCGACGAUCCCUAGCUGGUCUGAGAGGAUGACCAGCCACACUGGAACUGAGACACGGUCAAGAGUCCUACGGGAGGAAGCAGUGGGGAAUAUGGCACAAUGGGAGCAAGCCGGAUGCAGCCAUGCCGCGUGUGUGAAGAAGGCCGGAGGGGUGUAAAGUACUGUCAGCGGGGAGGCGUUACCCGCAGAAGAAGCACCGGCUAACUCCGUGCCAGCAGCCGCGGUAAUAC